CGGAGCGACGCCGCGUGAUGGACGAAGGCCCUCGGGUUGUAAACAUCUGUCGUAGGGGAGGAAAUUUUGACCGAUCCUAGGAGGAAGCGCAGGCUAAGUUCGUGCCAGCAGCCGCGGUAAUACGAACUGCGCAAACGUUAUUCGGAAUCACUGGGCUUAAAGGGUGCGUAGGCGGAUUGGUAGGUCAGAUGUGAAAUCCCACGGCUCAACCGUGGAACUGCGUUUGAAACCCCCAGUCUUGAGGGGAUCAGAGGAAAGCGGAACUGAUGGUGGAGCGGUGAAAUGCGUUGAUAUCAUCAGGAACACCGGUGGCGAAAGCGGCUCUCUGGGAUCUUUCUGACGCUGAGGCACGAAAGCUAGGGGAGCGAACGGGAUUAGAUACCCCGGUAGUCCUAGCUGUAAACGAUCUGUACUGGUCUGUGGGGGCUUCCACACCCUCUCGGACGUAGCGAAAGUGUUAAGUACAGCGCCUGGGGAGUAUGGUCGCAAGGCUGAAACUCAAAGGAAUUGACGGGGCUUUCACACAAAAAG
rnacentral:rRNA from 1 species